GAUGAAGAACGUAGCGAAAUGCGAUAAGUAGUGUGAAUUGCAGAAUUCAGUGAAUCAUCGAAUCUUUGAACGCACAUUGCGCCCCUUGGUAUUCCAUGGGGCAUGCCUGUUCGAGCGUCAUCUUAACCCUCAAGCACUGCUUGGUGAUGGGCGUCUGUCCCGCCUCUGCGCGCGGACUCGCCCCAAAGGCAUUGGCAGCGGUCCCGUCCGCCUCUCGCGCAGCACAGAUGCGCUUCUUAAGGCUUCGGGCCCGCGUCCAUGAAGCUCAUUUACCACGUUUGACCUCGGAUCAGGUAGGGAUACCCGCUGAACUUAAGCAUAUCAAUAAGCGGAGGA
rnacentral:misc_RNA from 1 species